rnacentral:rRNA from 1 species
GAAAGUAAGCAAGGGCAGACGGUGGAUGCCUUGGCUCUCGGAGGCGACGAAGGACGUGAUAAGCUGCGAAAAGCCCGGGGGAGGCGCAAAUAGCCGUUGAUCCCGGGAUAUCCGAAUGGGGCAACCCGGCAGGCUGAAGGCCUGCCAUCCCGUAAGGGAGGCGAACGUGGGGAACUGAAACAUCUAAGUACCCAUAGGAGGAGAAAAUAAACAAUGAUUCCGUAAGUAGUGGCGAGCGAACACGGAAGAGCCCAAACCCAUGUCGUCUAGGCGACACGGGGGUUGUAGGACCACGACGUGGCAAGAUAGAGUCAAGUGGAACGCCUUGGAAAAGGCGGUCAUAGAGGGUGAAAACCCCGUACACGACUGACGAUUGAAGCCUAGUGGCAUCCUGAGUAGCGCGGGGCACGAGAAAUCUUGCGUGAAACUGCGGGGCCCAUCCCGUAAGGCUAAAUACUCCCGAGAGACCGAUAGCGAACCAGUACCGUGAGGGAAAGGUGAAAAGAACCCCGAGCAGGGGAGUGAAAUAGACCCUGAACCCGUCUGCCUACAAGCGGUCGGAGCAUCGUCCAGAUGUGACGGCGUGCCUUUUGCAUAAUGAACCUACGAGUUACCUUCCCCGGCAAGGUUAAGUACCUAAGGUACGGAGCCGAAGCGAAAGCGAGUCUGAAUAGGGCGGCCAGUCGGGGGGGGUAGACGCGAAACCGAGUGAUCUACCCUUGGCCAGGUUGAAGGUUGGGUAACACCAACUGGAGGACCGGAUGGGUAAGCGUUGAAAAGCUUUCCAAUGAGCUGAGGGUAGGGGUGAAAGGCUAAUCAAACUCGGAGAUAGCUCGUACUCCCCGAAAUGCAUUUAGGUGCAGCCUCUUUAUAGUAUAUCGUGAGGUAGAGCGACUGAUUGGAUGCGAGGGCUUCACCGCCUAUCAAGUCCAGAUAAACUCCGAAUGCGCGAUAUAUAUUUACAGGGAGUGAGGGCGCGGGUGCUAAGGUCCGUGUCCGAGAGGAGAAGAAUCCAGACCACCGGCUAAGGCCCCCAAAUGAUCGUUGAGUUGAACUAACGAGGUCGGAUCGCAGAGACAGCUAGGAUGUUGGCUUGGAAGCAGCCAUUCAUUUAAAGAGUGCGUAACAGCUCACUAGUCGAGCGAUCUGGCGUGGAUAAUAAUCGGGCAUAAACGAUCUGCCGAAGCCGUGGAUGUCGUAAGACAUGGUAGGGGAGCAUUCCAUGCGGCGUCGAAGAUGAGGGAUGACCCUUGUUGGAGCGCAUGGAAAAGCAAAUGUAGGUAUGAGUAACGAUAAGGGGGGCGAGAAACCCCCCCGCCGAAAGACCAAGGUUUCCUGAUCAACGCUAAUCGGAUCAGGGUGAGUCGGGACCUAAGGCUAAGCCGAACGGCGACGCCGAUGGAAGAAUGGGUUAAUAUUCCCAUACUGCCUCAUGGAGUGACGUGGAGACGGAGAAGUGACAGUCCUGCCGGCUGACGGAAUAGCCGGUUGAAGGGUGUAGGAGUCGAUCAUGGUAGGCAAAUCCGCCGUGAGAUCCGAACCUGAGAGUAUACGGAGCGCUUGCGCGACGUAAUAUGGACGUAACCAUGCUCCCAAGAAAAUCCGCUAAACUUAUCCAUGCGGCACCCGUACCGUAAACGGACACACGUGGUCGGGUUGAGAAUACUGAGGCGCUCGAGUGACUCACGGUUAAGGAACUAGGCAAAUUGACCCUGUAACUUCGGGAUAAAGGGUCCUCGUCGUAAGGCGAGGCGCAGAGAAUAGGUCCAGGCAACUGUUUAACAAAAACACAUGGCUGUGCUAAAUGGAAACAUGACGUAUACAGCCUGACACCUGCCCGGUGCUGGAAGGUUAAGAGGAGAUGUCAUCGCGAGAGAAGCGUUGAAUUGAAGCCCCAGUAAACGGCGGCCGUAACUAUAACGGUCCUAAGGUAGCGAAAUUCCUUGUCGGGUAAGUUC